AUUGAACGCUGGCGGCAGGCUUAACACAUGCAAGUCGAGCGGGGGAAGGUAGCUUGCUACUGGACCUAGCGGCGGACGGGUGAGUAAUGCUUAGGAAUCUGCCUAUAGUGGGGGACAACAUCUCGAAAGGGAUGCUAAUACCGCAUACGUCCUACGGGAGAAAGCAGGGGAUCUACGGACCUUGCGCUAAUAGAUGAGCCUAAGUCGGAUUAGCGAGUUGGUGGGGUAAAGGCCUACCAAGGCGACGAUCUGUAGCGGAUCUGAGAGGAUGAUCCGCCACACUGGGACUGAGACACGGCCCAGACUCCUACGGGAGGCAGCAGUGGGGAAUAUUGGACAAUGGGGGGAACCCUGAUCCAGCCAUGCCGCGUGUGUGAAGAAGGCCUUAUGGUUGUAAAGCACUUUAAGCGAGGAGGAGGCUACUUUAGUUAAUACCUAGAGAUAGUGGACGUUACUCGCAGAAUAAGCACCGGCUAACUCUGUGCCAGCCGCCGCAGUAA
rnacentral:rRNA from 1 species